GAUGAAGAACGCAGUGAAAUGCGAUAAGUAGUGUGAAUUGCAGAAUUCAGUGAAUCAUCGAAUCUUUGAACGCACAUUGCGCCCCUUGGUAUUCCAUGGGGCAUGCCUGUUCGAGCGUCAUUUGUACCUUCAAGCCUUGCUUGGUGUUGGGUGUUUGUCUCGCCUCUGCGCGCAGACUCGCCUCAAAACAAUUGGCAGCCGGCGUAUUGAUUUCGGAGCGCAGUACAUCUCGCGCUUUGCACUCAGAACGACGACGUCCAAAAGUACAUUUUUACACUCUUGACCUCGGAUCAGGUAGGGAUACCCGCUGAACUUAAGCAUAUCAAUAAGCGGAGGA
rnacentral:misc_RNA from 1 species